AUCAUAGAGCCCUCCUUCCUGCUUCCUCUUCUUGUGUUUCACCUUAAAAGGUUAACUUCUGACUGACUGCAGAUCGUCACUGCUGCUGCUGAGGAGGCGGGGCCAAAAAAGUUCUGAUAAAAUAGCCAAGUUCAGAGAUCUGAGCUUCUUCUGAUUAGCCUGCAGACCACAUAUCCAGCCUCCAAAGAGCCAACCAAUCAUACGACCGACCGACCGACCAUCCAAUCAGGCGUCUCCAUCUUCAGGUCAUGGCGUCCUACGGUUUGCUGUUCCUGCUGUUGAUGUCAUCCUCCCUCUUCAUUUCCACCUUCUCCCAGCCACCCCCUCGGAACCAGCUGGCCAGAGGUUCUCCACAGAAAAUCAACAAAGCCAAAGAAGGUGCUAAAGCUGUGGGCAAGUUCAUCCUUAAGAGCAUCAGUGAACUCAGGUUCACACUGACCCCUUUUCUGUCGUUGAUUCCUGUUUGGGGACCGCUCAUCAGUGCCAUGGUCAACAUGGGUCUGGUGGGAGUGUCAGUGAUAAACAACAACAUCAAUAACAAGCCGAUACUCGAAGCAAUCAUAUCUGAAUUGGACAGUAUCAGAUCCACGAUGAAGGAGUAUCACCUGGAGCAUAAAUGGGACACCUGGGCGGCCGGAGCUUACCACAAACCUGAGAUGGACAUAAAUCUGGCCUGGGACCGUUACUUAAUGCUGGCAAGAUCUCUGCUGCAGGCAAGAAGUGACAAUGAAAACAAGAGACUUGUCAAUGAGUUUGUUAACUACUACAAGAAGCACCUGGAUGCCACCAACACUUUGCGCAGGCUGCUGACAGCUAAAGGAGCGACCUUCAUUUAUAACCUGGGAGACUUGUUGGCUCAACACGUUAAAUGUCACGACAGGGAAAUCCGAGAAUACACCGUAUUCAUCAAUCAACUUAUCUGCAAGGGCAACACCAUGAAUCAGUUCUACUACAAAAUGAAGGGCACAGGCUCUCCAGCUAAGGAUGAAGAAGCAGCUAAGAUCGCAUAUGAAGCCGCCGACGUCAUGUUCCGGGUCCAGAUGGCCUGCAUGGAGAACAGCGAGGACUACGUUAAAAGGACGUAGAGGCACUCAUUGACAAAACAAAAAAGCGUGAAGACCUGGCAAACGAAGUGCAAGCUUUUCUGAAGAAAACUUAUGACAGGUAUGACUGGAUGGUCGUAGCCUACAUAACCAAAAAUUCAGGUCAUAAAAUACUUGAAACCCUGAACAAACAUACCAUGACAGAUUUCUAUACUUUUGCUAAUAGGCAGGGAAUUAGCGUAGCUGUAGCCAGGCAGGUGAAGGGCACUCAUACCAUGGUUAACAAUGUGAUAGAGGCCAUCAGGAGGUGCUUUCCAAGGCAACCUGUGUGCUACAAAGUGGCAGAGGAACUCAGAGUGUGUCGACAAGGUGUGAGUCAAGGUAUUCCAGUGUCUGAUGCCAUCACAGCAGUUCAUGCCUAUACCAGAAAACCCCACGACAGCUCCAAUGCCAAAAUAGAAUCUUACUACGUCGACAUCAGCAGAAGUCGAGGCCAGACCCCCUACAUUUACGAAGGGGACUGUGAGAAAUCUAAAGGUAUUCGAGGUGGCAAGUUUGCUGUUUUGAUCAAAAGUGACGAAGAAAUAUUCAACAAGCAUCCCUGUGCCAAGCUCAACUGUGGUGGCAACCAAAGAGGCCGCUGUAUCCAGGUGAAGGGCAUCAAUGUGGGAAUCUGUCACUGUAAGAUGCCAUUCUACGGCCGCAACUGUGAGAGCAGCUUAGCAGAUUACAAGAGUUUCUUAGAGCAACAGAGUGGAUUACGAGUGGUGGACCAGAGGACCCGGAACAGGCCUCUGUUCUGAUGCAAUUAGGUGUCUUAAGGCUGUUUUCCAUUGCAGGAAGCUGUUUUAGGGCCAUUUUAGUGUGGCUGAAUCUUUCUGACUGCAAGAACUGCCCUUACAGAACCUCUAUCAGGGCUGUGUAAGGUUGGAUGUAGCGCUUGUUCUGACUGCAGGAAAUAUUCCUGUAGAUUCUGACCUUGAGAUCCACCCAUUAGAACCUCCGUCAGGCCUUUUUUAGUGUGGCUCCCAAAACAAGCUAUUCUGAGCCUUUUAACUGAACCUUGUAGAAGCUCUUUCAGUGCUAUUUUCAGGGGUAGAUAAGUGUCUCUUGCAGGUACCAACCUUCAUAGUUGUGUUUCCUUCAUAGAACCAGAGUUCUGUCCAGCAGCUGCUGUUUGUUCUGGUCUGUCAGAGCAGACAUAACAUGAAGCUGUAGAUCUGACAGCACAAACAGAAAUGAUGAUUUCUCACACCUGAAACAAGUUCCUGCAGUGGAAAUGUCCUGAGGCCUCCUGAUAUCUUCUUCUUUUUUUUUUUUUUAGCUUGGCAUUAAUAUUCCUGCAGCUGAUGAUGUAUACACAUCAGAACAGCAGCAAUAGAAUUACUGUCCAUGUAAGGACGAUGCAGAGACGACCUCCAAGUCCAUCAACUAAUCAGUUCAUCAACCUUGGUUUAACAACACACAAAAGCUGGAAAACAAAUUUUAAAAAAUAUUUAAUAUUAUAGUAAAUAUACACUUCGUCAUCUCAGACUCCAGCAAACAGACAUUUUUCAAAGUUUUUUGAUAUUUCACAAACAAAUAAUCAUUCAUAAAAUAUUAAUCAAUCAUGUUUAGUAAAUGUGCAAAUUGUGCACAUUUACAGCUUUGUUUUUGUUUUGAUGGGUUAGGCUAGAAACAUAUGAUUUUUACAGAUCUCUGCAGAAAGAAGCCAAAGAUCAGAGUGUGGGCUCCAAGAGCCACGUGUUGAUUUGGACGUAUAAGCAGCUGCAUCGUCUGCAUACAAACGAAUGAAGUUGAUGCAUCGUCAGUUCUAAGGUGGAGCUGAGCUGUAACGCAAACUGCAAAGUGAACAGAGCCUUUGUCCUCAGACAGGAGGGACCAUUUACUCCACAUCUAAAAACUUUAUUCACUUCUGUGGCAAACUUCAGGUGAGAAAGAAAAUCUAAGAGUUAGUCAAAGACACAUCAACAAAUCUGUUAGUGAAUUUUAUGCAUGUAAAACCAGAGUGAUGGGAUUUCUGUAAAUGCUGAACUCCUCCUUCACUGUGAUCUGACUGGACAGAGUUUAAACCACCAACCAGCUUUUCCUGCUUCUAGCUUCUGUCCGCAUUCUGCUGAAUAAUAAAACUUUACUUUCACUGUCA